AGCUUUGCGCAGUGGCAGUAUCAUAGCCAAUGAGGUUUAUCUGAGGCGCGAUUAUUGCUAAUUAAAAUUAAUCACUGAGUCUACAUUUCAGUUAUAUGUAUUGAACACAUAUAUUUUUACCUUCUCUAAAAG
rnacentral:snRNA from 1 species